rnacentral:tRNA from 1 species
GGAAGUGUAAGCGGUUCUGGUGACCGCCCCGGGCUUCAAACCCGGCGUGACGACUGAAAAGCCGUCAGGUGGGUUCGAUUCCCAUCCACUUCCG